rnacentral:tRNA from 1 species
GGAUUGUGGCUCAGCGGUAGAGCACUAGCCUAGCAUUCGUGGGGCCCUGGGUUUGAUCCCCAGCACCA